rnacentral:lncRNA from 1 species
GCCGGGAUGAGGCGCCGGCUUUCCCGGGUCUUCUCCAGCUGCCACCGCUUUACUGCAAAACUGACGGGCGCAAAAACAUGAGUGACUCCGCGGGAGGGCGCGCUGGUCUCCGGCGUUACCCCAAGCUCCCAGUGUGGGUGGUGGAGGAUCAUCAGGAGGUUCUACCCUUUAUAUACCGGGCCAUAGGCUCAAAGCAUCUUCCUGCCAGUAAUGUAAGUUUUUUACAUUUCGACUCACAUCCAGACCUCCUUAUUCCUGUGAAUAUGCCAGCAGACACCGUGUUUGAUAAGGAAACACUCUUUGGAGAAUUAAGUAUUGAAAAUUGGAUUAUGCCUGCAGUUUAUGCUGGCCAUUUUUCACAUGUAAUAUGGUUUCAUCCCACAUGGGCUCAGCAGAUCAGAGAGGGCAGACACCACUUUUUAGUAGGCAAAGACACUUCUACCACAACAAUCAGGACUGGAAAAGGACACAGCAACACAGAGAAGUGACCAGACUUGCCUAGAACCAUCAUGUUCAUGUUCUUCUGAAAAUCAGGAAUGCCAGACUGCUGCCAGCACUGGGGAAAUUCUGGAAAUUUUGAAGAAAGGGAAGGCAUUUGUUUUAGAUAUUGACUUGGAUUUUUUUUCAGUCAAGAAUCCCUUCAAAGAAAUGUUCACUCAGGAAGAGUACAAAAUCUUACAAGAGCUGUACCAAUUUAAGAAACCUGGCACCAACCUAACAGAGGAAGAUUUGGUAGAUAUUGUUGAUACUCGAAUUCAUCAAUUAGAGGAUUUAGAAGCCACUUUCGCUGAUUUGUGUGAUGGUGAUGAUGAAGAAACGGUACAGAGAUGGGCUUCAAACCCUGGAAUGGAAUCACUAGUUCCCCUUGUACAGAGUUUGAAAAAACGGAUGGAAGUACCAGACUAUGAAAUGGU